UGGGGAAUUUUGGACAAUGGGCGAAAGCCUGAUCCAGCAAUGCCGCGUGUGUGAAGAAGGCCUUCGGGUUGUAAAGCACUUUUGUCCGGAAAGAAAUCCUUGGCUCUAAUACAGUCGGGGGAUGACGGUACCGGAAGAAUAAGCACCGGCUAACUACGUGCCAGCAGCCGCGGUAAUACGUAGGGUGCAAGCGUUAAUCGGAAUUACUGGGCGUAAAGCGUGCGCAGGCGGUUUGCUAAGACCGAUGUGAAAUCCCCGGGCUCAACCUGGGAACUGCAUUGGUGACUGGCAGGCUAGAGUAUGGCAGAGGGGGGUAGAAUUCCACGUGUAGCAGUGAAAUGCGUAGAGAUGUGGAGGAAUACCGAUGGCGAAGGCAGCCCCCUGGGCAAUACUGACGCUCAUGCACGAAAGCGUGGGGAGCAAACAGGAUUAGAUACCCUGGUAGUCCACGCCCUAAACGAUGUCAACUAGUUGUUGGGGAUUCAUUUUCUUAGUAACGUAGCUAACGCGUGAAGUUGACCGCCUGGGGGAGUACGGUCGCAAGAUUAAAACUCAAAGGAAUUGAC
rnacentral:rRNA from 1 species